rnacentral:rRNA from 1 species
CAUCCCCUCGAGUGAUGGGGAUGAUUAUUUGGCCUAAAGCGUCCGUAGCCGGCCGAGCAAGUCUUCCGUUAAAUCCAGCGUCUCAAGCGUUGGACCGCGGGAGAUACUACACGGCUAGAGAGUGGGAGAGGUCAGCGGUAUUCUGGGGGUAGGGGCGAAAUCCUUUGAUCCCCGGAGGACCACCAGUGGCGAAGGCUGCUGACUAGAACACGUCUGACGGUCAGGGACGAAAGCUGGGGUAGCGAACCGGAUUAGAUACCCGAGUAGUCC